rnacentral:rRNA from 1 species
GAAGGUUGGCUCAGAGCGGUCGGAAAUCGCUCGUUGAGUGCAAUGGCAGAAGCCAGCCUGACUGCGAGACUGACAAGUCGAGCAGAGUCGAAAGACGGCCAUAGUGAUCCGGUGGUCCCGAGUGGAAGGGCCAUCGCUCAACGGAUAAAAGGUACGCCGGGGAUAACAGGCUGAUACUGCCCAAGAGUCCAUAUCGACGGCAGUGUUUGGCACCUCGAUGUCGGCUCAUCUCAUCCUGGGGCUGGAGCAGGUCCCAAGGGUACGGCUGUUCGCCGUUUAAAGAGGUACGUGAGCUGGGUUUAGAACGUCGUGAGACAGUUCGGUCCCUAUCUGCCGUGGGUGUAGGAUACUUGAGAGGAGUUGCCCCUAGUACGAGAGGACCGGGGUGAACGAUCCACUGGUGGACCUGUUGUUGCGCCAGCAGCAGUGCAGGGUAGCUAUGAUCGGACAGGAUAACCGCUGAAGGCAUCUAAGCGGGAAGCCCCCCUCAAAACAAGGUAUCCCUGAGGGCCGUGGUAGACCACCACGUCGAUAGGCCGGAGAUGUAAGCGCAGCAAUGUGCUCAGUUGACCGGUACUAAUGGCCCGAUAGGCUUGAUUUG